UACGUAGGUGGCAAGCGUUGUCCGGAAUUAUUGGGCGUAAAGCGCGCGCAGGUGGUUCUUUAAGUCUGAUGUGAAAGCCCACGGCUCAACCGUGGAGGGUCAUUGGAAACUGGGGAACUUGAGUGCAGAAGAGGAUAGUGGAAUUCCAAGUGUAGCGGUGAAAUGCGUAGAGAUUUGGAGGAACACCAGUGGCGAAGGCGACUAUCUGGUCUGUAACUGACACUGAGGCGCGAA
rnacentral:rRNA from 1 species